CAGUAGCCACGGUAAUACGAAGGGUGCAAGCGUUACUCGGAAUCACUGGGCGUAAAGCGUGCGUAGGUGGUGGUUUAAGUCCGUUGUGAAAGCCCUGGGCUCAACCUGGGAAUUGCAGUGGAUACUGGGUCACUAGAGUGUGGUAGAGGAUAGUGGAAUUUCCGGUGUAGCAGUGAAAUGCGUAGAGAUCGGAAGGAACAUCUGUGGCGAAGGCGACUAUCUGGGCCAACACUGACACUGAAGCACGAAAGCGUGGGGAGCAAACAGGAUUAGAUACCCGAGUAGUCCCUGUCUCUUAUAC
rnacentral:rRNA from 1 species